rnacentral:rRNA from 1 species
AUUGAACGCUGGCGGCAUGCUUUACACAUGCAAGUCGAACGGCAGCACGGGAGCUUGCUCCUGGUGGCGAGUGGCGAACGGGUGAGUAUUGCAUCGGAACGUACCCAGUAGUGGGGGAUAGCCCGGCGAAAGCCGGAUUAAUACCGCAUAUUUCCUGAGGGAGAAAGCGGGGGACCUUCGGGCCUCGCGCUACUGGAGCGGCUGAUGUCGGAUUAGCUAGUUGGUGAGGUAAAGGCUCACCAAGGCGACGAUCCGUAGCUGGUCUGAGAGGAUGAUCAGCCACACUGGGACUGAGACACGGCCCAGACUCCUACGGGAGGCAGCAGUGGGGAAUAUUGGACAAUGGGCGCAAGCCUGAUCCAGCCAUGCCGCGUGUGUGAAG